AGAACGAACGCUGGCGGCAUGCCUAACACAUGCAAGUCGAACGCUUCCGGGGCUUCGGUCGCGGAGGAGUGGCGCACGGGUGAGUAGCGCGUGGGAACCUGCCCUGUUGUGGGGGAUAACCGAGGGAAACUUCGGCUAAUACCGCAUACGCCCCGGGACUUGGUCUUCGGAUUAGGUCUGGGGGGAAAGAUUGAUCGCAGCAGGAGGGGCCCGCGUCGGAUUAGCUGGUUGGUGGGGUAACGGCUCACCAAGGCGAUGAUCCGUAGCUGGUCUGAGAGGAUGAUCAGCCACACUGGGACUGAGACACGGCCCAGACUCCUACGGGAGGCAGCAGUGGGGAAUAUUGGACAAUGGGGGCAACCCUGAUCCAGCAAUGCCGCGUGAGUGAUGAAGGCCUUAGGGUUGUAAAGCUCUUUUGUGCGGGAAGAUAAUGACGGUACCGCAAGAAUAAGCCCCGGCUAACUUCGUGCCAGCAGCCGCGGUAA
rnacentral:rRNA from 1 species